rnacentral:rRNA from 1 species
AGUGAACGCUGGCGGUAGGCCUAACACAUGCAAGUCGAACGGCAGCACAGUAAGAGCUUGCUCUUACGGGUGGCGAGUGGCGGACGGGUGAGGAAUACAUCGGAAUCUACUUUUUCGUGGGGGAUAACGUAGGGAAACUUACGCUAAUACCGCAUACGACCUACGGGUGAAAGCAGGGGAUCUUCGGACCUUGCGCGAUUGAAUGAGCCGAUGUCGGAUUAGCUAGUUGGCGGGGUAAAGGCCCACCAAGGCGACGAUCCGUAGCUGGUCUGAGAGGAUGAUCGGCCACACUGGAACUGAGAAACGGUCCAGACUCCUACGGGAGGCAGCAGUGGGGAAUAUUGAACAAUGGGCGCAAGCCUGAUCCAGCCAUACCGCGUGGGUGAAGAAGGCCUUCGGGUUGUAAAGCCCUUUUGUUGGGAAAGAAAAGCAGCAGGUUAAGACCCCGCUGUUCUGACGGUACCCAAAGAAUAAGCACCGGCUAACUUCGU